UUGAACGCUGGCGGCGUGGCUAAAGCAUGCAAGUCGAACGAGAACCCAGCAAUGGGGGACAGUGGCGAAAGGGUGAGGAAUACAUUCCUACGUGCCUCGAGGUGGGGAAUAGGCGGGGGAAACUCCGCGUAAUGCCCCAUGUGAUCUCCGGAUGAAAGCCGUAAGGCGCCUUGAGAGCGGGGAAUGUCCUAUCAGGUAGUUGGCGGGGUAACGGCCCACCAAGCCUAUGACGGGUAGCAGGCGUGAGAGCGCGGCCUGCCACAUCGGGACUGAGACACUGCCCGGACUCCUACGGGAGGCUGCAGCGACGAAUAUUCCGCAAUGGGCGAAAGCCUGACGGAGCGACGCCGCGUGCAGGAUGAAGCGGCUCUGCCGUGUAAACUGCUGUCAGGGUGGAGAAAUAAUGAUCACACCCAAAGGAAGGGCCUGCUAAUCUCGUGCCAGCAGCCGCGGUAAU
rnacentral:rRNA from 1 species